rnacentral:sRNA from 1 species
AAGCGGCGAGACCACGCCUCCAGCACGGA